CGAACGCUGGCAGCGUGGAUGAGGCAUGGCAAGUCGAGCGGUCUCUAGGAAGUAGCAAUAUGACCUAGAGAUAGCGGCGGAAGGGCGAGUAUCGCGUGGGCAAGCUACCCCCGAGUGCGGAACAACGGCUGGAAACGGCCGCUAAUGCCGCAUGUGGCCGUGCGACGCAGGUCGCGCGUGCCAAAGGCCGGGACCGCAAGGCCGGCCGCCCGGGGAGGCGCCCGCGUGCCAUCAGCUAGUUGGCGGGUAACGGCCCACCAAGGCGCACGGCUAGGCGGACUGAGAGGUUGGUCGCCCGCACUGGGACUGAGACACUGCCCAGACUCCUACGGGAGGCUGCAGUCGAGGAUCAUUCGCAAUGGGCGCAAGCCUGACGAUGCGACGCUGCGUGGAGGACGAAGGCCCUCGGGUCGUAAACUCCUGUCAGAGGGGAAAAGGGCGCGCCCCCGAACAAGGGAACGCGCUUGAUGGUACCCUCAGAGGAAGCCACGGCUAACUCUGUGCCAGCCGCGGC
rnacentral:rRNA from 1 species